rnacentral:lncRNA from 1 species
CUUCCUCUAAGGCUCUGAACUGCAUCAUUUAAAAUAUUUUAUGGAAUAUGUGCCCCAGGUACAUUUGUGUGCAUUCACCAGUAGCAUAGCCAAGACGCGUUACUCACAUCCGCCUAGGUGAAGCCUGCUACGAGAAUGCCAAGGAAAAGAGCCAGUUUAUACUCUUUAUCCCUUUAUUCAUAGCAUGAUUUUUUCAAAUGUUAUGUAACAGACAUGAAGCAGCAACUAUGCUAUACUUAAGAAUUUUCUAUCUCAUCCUCCAAACCAAAGUGUCCUGAAGGAGCCAGGAGACUUAUUCUUUUGUGCGUCACUGUGCAUGUUGGACUGAGGUCCUCACCAUCGUCUCUUUGGGCUGCUGAAAAAACUGUGGCCCUAACCAUUUCAUUCUUGGUUUCAAAAAUACAGUGUUGCCUUGUACCGUAAUUAGGGACAGCACCUCUUUUUUACAAUUAUAAUCUAAGAAAGGACAAGAAGACACUGAAGCAAUAAACUUAAAAGUAAAAUCCAAUACCAAAACAAAGAAAAGAAACAAACAGAAAAAAACCCUUGCUCAUCAUGUUGUGAAAUUGAAGAAGUGGAUGUCCAUUCAAAAUAUUUUACUAUUUCUUGUGGAGUUUUUCAGUGAUGUAAUGCUUAUAGCCAAAUUGCUUAAAGACCGAAGCCAUUGAAGAUUUUCUUACAUUGAGUUUCAUUUUAUAGAACUUUCUAGGACUUUUUUUUUUAACAGAAUCAUUUUAGCCUCAGGACUGAGAAUGUGGAGAGCUUGAAUAAAUUAGCUUUAAAUACAUCAU